CGGCUCACUGCAAGCUCCGCCUCCCGGGUUCACCCCAUUCUCCUGCCUCAGCCUCCCAAGUAGCUGGGACUACAGGGGCCUGCCACCAUGCCCAGCGAAUUUUUUGUAUUUUUUAGUACAGACGGGGUUUUACUGUUAGCCAGGAUGGUCUCGAUCUCUUGACCUCGUGAUCCGCCCGCCUCCGCCUCCCAAAGUGCUGGGAUUACAGGCGUGAGCCACCGCGCCCGGCCCAAUUUCUAAAUUUUAAAGCUACUUUAAGAGGAAGGGUCUUGAAUAUACUGAAUGACCUUUUGAAAUAGAUUUUUUAAAUCACAUUUUUUUCCUAAGAUACACAUUGAUUAGGAUUAGAUGAUCUCUCUUUGGUCUCUUCUGUAAUUCUCAUUUAGAUAACAUGAAAGAUAGACCCAUUGAGAUAAUUAACAGAAUCAAAGGAUGUUUUGGUUGUAGUUCUCACCUGUUGAAUGGAUGAAGGUAUAGCAAUACUCAAAAUGUCCCUAGAGACUGUUCAAGAGAAUCUGGCCAUCAGGGUCCCCCCAAGUGAGCCCUGUGUGACAGGAGAUCACAGAUGGUCUGGAAAGGAUUGCAAAGGACCAGGUAGAGUGUUGGUGACUAACGGGCUGCCUCCUGAGGGCAGAAGUUCCUGCCUUUGACUUCAGCCCCAGCCCUAACCUCCUUAUCAGUCUGCAAAACGGAACUGGACCCUGGGAGCGAUCUCAUUAGCCACCAUCCCUCUUGGACCUGAAACCCAUUCAUUACCUUCUCCGGGUCCGGGCCCCUCGCAGUGUGGGGAAGUUCCUGGGAGGAAGAUACCACAAGGGGCCGGGAGCAGAAUUUGCUCCAGGCACUGGGCCAGUCCGUGAGGGCUCCUGGAUCCGGGGUCCCCACUCCCUUCUCGCCGGGCUCUGGGCCAAGAAGGCGCGGCCGGAGUCCCGGGAAGCCCCUUGGCAGCCAGCCAAGGGCCCUCUGAGGAUCUGGAUGGCGCGGAUGGCGCCGCCCCACCUGCGGGCGGUGGAGAGCGCGGCGAGAGGAAAAGUAUUCCCCGCGAGCCGGAAUAAAGGGCGCCCUCGGUCCGGCAGGCCCGGGUCAGAUCCUCCCGCCGACCUUCGGCCCGCCCCCUGCAGGCGGCCCAGUUACUCCCCGGCUCGGCUGCCCCUGCCCCGCCCUAGAGGGAGCGCCCGUAGCCAGCGCCCGGAGAAAGAAGUUACAGGCCCAGGGCCCCAGUGCAGCCUGGACACAGUAUUCAAGGUCUUGGCGUCUGAGCAUUAUUAUGCCUUAUUUUCAAGCUUUGUUAACGGUUUUAGGUGGAUGUCUUUCAAACAGCCCAUAGCUACUAAUUUCUUUCUUUUCAUUGGUGAGUAUAGUCCAGUUACAAUUAUUGUGGUUACUGGUGUAUUAUAAUGAUUUCCACAUGUUAUUUUGUGCUUUCUAUUUCUACUGCUUUUUCUUUAUUUUAUGUUUCCUUUAUUCUCCUUUCCUGAAUUUUUUAAUUGAAUGGCUUUUGUAAAGUCAGGUUUUUUUCCCUUUCAUAUUUUGGAGACUAUACACGGUAAUUUGAGAUUCUACUAUUACAAGUAUUUGACAUAUAUAUUUUUCUUUUAAAGUCUAAAGUUAUUUCUAACUGCUUCCUGAACUAUAGAGGAACUUAGAACAUUUUAAAUCCUAUCACGUUUCCACUUUUGAUUAUUACUGUUCAGCCUUGUCCAACAUAGCCCAUUAUUGUAUCCUACAAUUAGUGUUAGUUUAGCUACAACAUGAAGUUUCUUUGCUAUUUUCGGUAAUUUAGACCUUUCUUGCAGGAUCAUUGUCAUUUUUGAAGCAUAUCCUUUAGAAGUGCUCUUUCUCAGGGGUCAGUGGUGUUAAACUUUUUUUUUUUUUCUCUGAAAAAUACCUUUAUUUUGCCUUUCAUCUUGAAAGAUAAUUUUAUGGGUACUUUUGUUAAUUUCAGAUUAGCAAUUAUUUUCUUUCAGUGUUUUGAAUAUAUUAUGCUACUGUCUUCUUUUGAAAAAUCAGCAAUCAUUCCAAUUAUUUUCCUCUGUAUGUAAUAACUCUUUUCUAUCCGGUUGACUUUAAGAGCUUCUUAUUGUCUUUGUUGCUGUAUAGUUUCAUUGUGGUGUAUAUAAGUGUGAAUUUCUUUUUAUUUAUCUUAUUCGAAUUUUCCUGAAUUGGAGUGUUCAUAACUUUCAUCUAUUUUGGAACCCUCUCAGUCAUUAUUGGUUGCCUUUUCUCCAUUCUCUUAUUUUCUCCUCAAAUUCUGAUUAGAUUUGUAUUAGGCUGAAUCAGUCAAGAAAACAGAGUUAAUGCCAUAUAGUUCAACAGAAGGAAUUUAAUAUGGAGAAUUAGUGACAAAUGUUUGUCACAUCUGAAAGCCAAAUAGGGGAUAGUGAGGCAAUUUAAAAGUUAACAGUGGA
ensembl:lncRNA